ensembl:antisense predicted gene 13091
GUUAAGAUCCAAUGGCAGACCAGGGGUUGAAGGUGGAGCGUUCCCUGGGGAGGCCCAAGUCGUGGAGUAGGAAAAGAGCAGCAGAGGCUGGUGGCACAGCACUGUAGGGGAGGAGGCCCUGAAUUCACUCUGGUAAGGUAAGUGCAUACAGUCAUCACAGAGCACUCCAGGGCACUGCCUGAAAGCAGCAAGGGGCAUCGCAACUGUGCACCAAGGGAGGCCAGAGCAUCUUCUCACCAGAACAGACUUCCUGUACUCAUCUAUAAAAGCUGCAAAGGCAGCAAUCCUAUCCAACGCCACGUUCCUUCCUAUGGGACUGGACAGUUGGUGUUCUCAAGUUUCUGAAACAAGUGAAGUCAACUCUGCUAGCACUGGCUUGUCAUGGACUAAGAAAUGGAGAAGGACCCAUAGCCAAGCAACAUGGUGCUUGCUUAAAAUUCCAGCACUUGGAAGAUGAAGGCAGGAGGCU